AUUGAACGCUGGCGGAAUGCUUUACACAUGCAAGUCGAGCGGCAGCGCGGGGGCAACCCUGGCGGCGAGCGGCGAACGGGUGAGUAACAUAUCGGAACGUACCCCGUCGUGGGGGAUAACACAGCGAAAGCUGUGCUAAUACCGCAUACGACCUGAGGGUGAAAGCGGGGGAUCGCAAGACCUCGCGCGAUGGGAGCGGCCGAUAUCGGAUUAGCUUGUUGGUGAGGUAAAGGCUCACCAAGGCGACGAUCCGUAGCUGGUCUGAGAGGACGACCAGCCACACUGGAACUGAGACACGGUCCAGACUCCUACGGGAGGCAGCAGUGGGGAAUUUUGGACAAUGGGGGCAACCCUGAUCCAGCCAUUCCGCGUGAGUGAAGAAGGCCU
rnacentral:rRNA from 1 species